rnacentral:antisense_RNA from 1 species
UUCCCACUCUUUUUUGUACCUAUCCCACAAAAAAAACGUCUCAACCGCGG